rnacentral:rRNA from 1 species
AUUCCUACGGGACGCAGCAGUAGGGAAUCUUCCACAAUGGGCGAAAGCCUGAUGGAGCAACGCCGCGUGGGUGAAGAAGGUCUUCGGAUCGUAAAACCCUGUUGUUAGAGAAGAAAGUGCGUGAGAGUAACUGUUCACGUUUCGACGGUAUCUAACCAGAAAGCCACGGCUAACUACGUGCCAGCAGCCGCGGUAAUACAUAGGGAGCAAGCGUUAUCCGGAAUUAUUGGGUGUAAAGGGUGCGUAGACGGGAAAUUAAGUUAGUUGUGAAAUCCCUUGGCUUAACUGAGGAACUGCAACUAAAA